rnacentral:rRNA from 1 species
GGGCUACUACGGGAGGCAGCAGUGGGGAAUAUUGCACAAUGGGGGAAACCCUGAUGCAGCGACGCCGCGUGAGUGAAGAAGUAUUUCGGUAUGUAAAGCUCUAUCAGCAGGGAAGAAAAAAGACGGUACCUGACUAAGAAGCCCCGGCUAACUACGUGCCAGCAGCCGCGGUAAUACGUAGGGGGCAAGCGUUAUCCGGAUUUACUGGGUGUAAAGGGAGCGUAGACGGAGAAGCAAGUCUGAAGUGAAAGCCAGUGGCUUAACCACGGGUCUGCUUUGGAAACUGUUUGAC